rnacentral:tRNA from 1 species
GGAGAGAUGGCCGAGUGGAUGAAGGCGCACGCCUGGAGAGCGUGUGGACGGGAAACCGUCUCGUGGGUUCGAAUCCCACUCUCUCCGCCA